UAAGCAUAUCAAUAAGCGGAGGAAAAGAAACCAACAGGGAUUGGCCUUAGUAACGGCGAGUGAAGCGGCAACAGCUCAAAUUUGAAAGCUGGCUCCUUCGGAGUCCGCGUUGUAAUUUGUAGAGGAUGAUUCGGCGAGGGCUCCCGCCUAAGUCCCCUGGAACGGGGCGUCAUAGAGGGUGAGAAUCCCGUAUGCGGUGGGUUGCCUUAGCCAUGUGAAUCUCCUUCGACGAGUCGAGUUGUUUGGGAAUGCAGCUCUAAAUGGGAGGUAAAUUUCUUCUAAAGCUAAAUACCGGCCAGAGACCGAUAGCGCACAAGUAGAGUGAUCGAAAGAUGAAAAGCACUUUGGAAAGAGAGUUAAAAAGUACGUGAAAUUGUUGAAAGGGAAGCGCUUGCAGCCAGACUUGUCCGCAGUUGCUCAACCGGUCUCCUGACCGGUGUACUCUUCUGCGGCCAGGCCAGCAUCAGUUCGGGCGGUCGGAUAAAGGCCCUGGGAAUGUAGCUCCUCUCGGGGAGUGUUAUAGCCCAGGGUGGAAUGCGGCCAGCCUGGACUGAGGAUCUCGCUUCGGCUAGGAUGCUGGCGUAAUGGCUGUAAGCGGCCCGUCUUGAAACACGGACCAAGGAGUCUAACAUCUAUGCGAGUGUUUGGGUGUCAAACCCAUGCGCGUAAUGAAAGUGAACGGAGGUGGGAACCCUCACGGGUGCACCAUCGACCGAUCCUGAUGUCUUCGGAUGGAUUUGAGUAAGAGCAUAGCUGUUGGGACCCGAAAGAUGGUGAACUAUGCCUGAAUAGGGUGAAGCCAGAGGAAACUCUGGUGGAGGCUCGCAGCGGUUCUGACGUGCAAAUCGAUCGUCAAAUUUGGGUAUAGGGGCGAAAGACUGAUCGAACCAUCUAGUAGCUGGUUCCUGCCGAU
rnacentral:rRNA from 1 species